CUCAGCAUGGACAUGAGGGCCCCUGCUCAGCUCCUUGGGAUCCUGCUGCUAUGGCUUCCAGGUGCCAGAUGUGACAUCCAGAUGACCCAGUCUCCAUCCUCCCUGUCUGCAUCUCUGGGAGACAGAGUCACCAUCACUUGUCGGGCCAGUCAGGGCAUUAGCAAUUAUUUAAAUUGGUACCAGCAGAAACCAGGGAAAGCUCCUAAACUCCUGAUCUAUUAUACUAAUAGCUUGGCAGAUGGGGUCCCAUCGAGGUUCAGUGGCAGUGGGUCUGGGGCAGAUUAUUCUCUCACCAUCAGCAGCCUGGAGGCUGAAGACAUUGCAACUUACUACUGUCAACAGAGUAGUAAUCUUUCCCACAGUGAUACAAGUCAUAACAUAAACCUCUAUGGGAGCAGAA